UACGAAGGGGGCUAGCGUUGCUCGGAAUCACUGGGCGUAAAGCGCACGUAGGCGGACUCUUAAGUCAGGGGUGAAAUCCUGGAGCUCAACUCCAGAACUGCCCUUGAUACUGAGGAUCUUGAGUACGGGAGAGGUGAGUGGAACUGCGAGUGUAGAGGUGAAAUUCGUAGAUAUUCGCAAGAACACCAGUGGCGAAGGCGGCUCACUGGCCCGUAACUGACGCUGAGGCACGAAAGCGUGGGGAGCAAACAGG
rnacentral:rRNA from 1 species